rnacentral:rRNA from 1 species
AGAACGAACGCUGGCGGCACGCCUAACACAUGCAAGUCGAGCGCCCAGCAAUGGGAGCGGCGGACGGGUGAGGAACACGUGGGAAUAUGCCUUUCGGUUCGGCACAACUGCGGGAAACUGCAGCUAAUUCCGGAUACGCCCUUACGGGGAAAGAUUUAUCGCCGAAAGAUUAGCCCGCGUCUGAUUAGCUAGUUGGUGAGGUAAUGGCUCACCAAGGCUUCGAUCAGUAGCUGGUUUGAGAGAACGACCAGCCACACUGGGACUGAGACACGGCCCAGACUCCUACGGGAGGCAGCAGUGGGGAAUCUUGGACAAUGGAGGAAACUCUGAUCCAGCGAUGCCGCGUGAGUGAUGAAGGCCUUCGGGUUGUAAACUCUUUUACCAGGGAAGAUAAUGACUGUACCGUGGAGAAUAAGCUCCGGCUACUUACGCGCCAGCAGCCGC